AAACUAGCGGGGCAGUGAAAUCUUUGCUUUGUGCUAAAGUCAACAGUGACAGAGUUUGAGCUCAAAUAAAUGUCGCGAUGCCUCCAGCCCUCUGCAGAAGGCGGCGGGCGAGGCUUCUCAGCUGGGCUCUGCUUUCGAAUAGGCGACAAUAAAGCUACAGGGUUUACUUGUUGCAUCUCCCUGGCCAUGUCUACCGUUACAUUUAACGUUGGACUGUGACAGGAAAAGUCUAACACAUCAUGAAGCUUGGAGCCAAAAUCAAAAUGCUAGUUCUCCUGGGAACAGAAGAAGAUAGCCGGCUCUGUUCUGGACUGUUUGCUCACUGGCCCUGAGAGCAAUCUUCCUCCCCGAAUGAAAUGCAAGGACACAAACAAUGUGCCGGCAAGAGAAAGAAAGACGGGGAAUGAACAGUUUGGACUAUUUGCUCAGCAGAAGGGCAGUCACAAUGGCUGGCCCAUGGCUUUCCCAUGCAUCAAGCCUCUUAGUCUUAGCACCCCUUUGUUGCUGGGUUUCGUCCAGAUAAGAGCCCAGCUGCCCCAUGCAUUUAACUCCCAUUGUACGGCAUACUGUAUAGCUGUUUAUCUGCUUUUGGCCAUUUUGUCAUUCAGUUAUUGCAUACCAUAUCUUCUGUGUAACCUUUGUGGGCAGGAUUCACCUUUGCAUGUGCAGUCGUUUAGGGAAGACAGAUCUGGAUAGGAAAGCCAGUUGCCCGGGGAAAAAGCCUCUCUUUCACUCUUCAAGUAUAGAGGGAGUGUGUAUUAACCCCAUGCUGAGACCCUUCUCAUGUCAAGUAUUCCUGAUAACAAAAGAAAUUAGUGAUCAGUUUUUAAAAGGAAACGAGAUGUGGGCAAUUUUAUGUGAACUUGAAAAAGUGAGAAUAGGAUGACAAAAGGCUAGUAAGAGAGGACAAAUAAAUCACAGGCACCCAUGCUAAGAGCAGUGUUGAUAUAUGCCAUUGUUCUGGUUGGACUGUUUGUCUAUGUUGGCGGCUGAGAAGCUGUGUUUCAAAUCCCUUAGCUCCUCGUGUGUCUUUGCUGAAUCGUGAAGGAGCAGGAAUAUUCUUUUUAUAAACAGAAAAAUCAAAGUAGAGCCAUUGCUUGGAGACAAAAAAGAUUUUUUAUAUAUUAUAGUGUAAAGGACAUUUUUAAAGCAGAACAUUUCAACGAUGAAUCGUGUUUGUGAUAUCAUGUUUAACGUCUUAUUCUUGGUUAUGUUUAUACCAUGCUGUAUCAGAUGUAAAAGGUCAAAAAUAUUAUAUGGUUGUAAAACAUGGUAAACACUGCAGAGGUCAGUUCAGAUGUUUUUACUAAACGGUUCUUCAUAUGCACAUGAUUCACUGGCUGCUAAAUAAGCUCAUAACCUCCCAAGGUGUCUGCAUGAGAUUAUCUUAACAAGCAUCUCAGGAUGAGUUAGAAAAGCAUUGAUAUAACACAGUCACAGUUACAGAGAGAGGAAUAGGAAGUUAUAAUGGUUGGCACCAUAUAGUGAUAUAAUGUGGGUUAGUAUGAAAAUUACUUGAAUCAACUCAAAAUUACUUGAAUCAACUCAUCAGUUAACAUUCAGUUAGGAUGGGAGAGAGAGAGAGAGAGAGAGAGAGAGAGAGGAUGUUAAUAAUCUAAUUAGCAGAAGAACAAUGUGAUCAUGAUGAAGGGAGAGAUUGUAAAACACAGCAGACAACUAACUGAUUAAAAUUUUUGUCCUCACCAUGUUUCAGUGACCUGUAUUUCAACACAGCAAAGCAGAAUUUGAAUAAAGUUGCAUGUCAAGAAACACAUCAGAUUGAUACUGUUAUGUACAUUAAGAAUAAGCAGUGUGUAUAAGUAGUUAUGGAGUGUUUGUAUAUGACACUAAUAGAUAGCAGAUAGUAGAUAUGCAAGAUAUGACUACUGAAAUAAGAGUGUAAGACUGACCAAAACAUGCACAUCCUGGAAAACUGCUAGCAUAGUGGUUGAAAUGUCUCAUCAAAUGGUAAUAACUCAGUAAGGGAAGGUCUUUUAGAAUUUAAUGUUGUAGAAGAAGAAAUGCAAUAUGUUCACAGUCACUGCUCUGAAAAAGCUGUAAUGGCUGGGAAAUGCAGCUGACAUAAAAUUUUUAAAUGGUUUCAAUCAGUUGAUUUUCUAAGGGAUAAAUUAAUAGACACUCAUGUUUGUCCAUUAUUUUCUUGAUCGGAACAUCAAGCAAGAAAGGUGUCAGAUUAAAGAAGGAAAACAGGACUGUCUUUGUUCUGAAUACAUGUGUGUAUUUCGCUCGUGUUCAUGUGCUUGUGUGUGUGUGUGUGUAAGAUUGUGUGGGUGUAUGUGGGUUGGCACAGCACCAUGCUUCACUGAUGCUAAAAUAAAGUUCUGUUCACGGCUUUUCAGCACGUCUUUGAAUUGCCCCCGCAGUGUAAUUUGUAAAUGACGAGAACCUCAGUAAUGUCGUGAUACAGAUCCCUGAGAGCUCGCCAGCUAAAGACAGAGUCUGAGUCAGUGCAAAUGACUGACACAAAAGCCCUGUGAUUAGCAGUGACCGGAACAUGUUAAGAACCUGGGGCUAAGAACACACACGAACAAACACACCUACAGCAUUUACAGGGCCGUCACAUACAGUUUCUAUAGCCCUCUCCAACAACAGGUGAUGUCUCCACUUCUUGAGCUGAUUUUUGAUAAAAUGACCUCCUUUUCAUCAAAAUACUGGAAUCGAUUAAAAUUUUUGGAUUUUGGGAGCUGUAAAUGAAGUACUGUUUUAAACCUUCAACACAGCUCUGAAGAAAACGACAAGUUCAACCGGUAGUUUAAGUUGAGGUAGAGUACCUUCCACUCUUUUAAAUGUCUUAUGAUUUUUCUUAAGCUCACCCUUGUGACAUACAUUUGUGAACGUGAAUGUAUUGAUUUUCUUUCUACCUCAACCUCUCUGUUUUUCUCUCUCUCUCUCUGUGGUUGGUCAUGUUUUUGAAUGGAAAGAGAGAGAUAACAGGAAUAGGGUGAUGUGACUGUUACACAGUACCCUCUCUGUGGGCCUCAUUGACCGGCUCAUGGCAUUGGUCAGGUAUGCCUGCAAUGUUUAACCAGUGAUCCAUCUUUACCUGUUUAGAGUUCUCUCUCUCUCUCUCUCUCUCUCUCUCUCUCUCUCUCUCUCUCUCUCUUUCAGGCAGCUUUGUUUGAGCUGUGGCCUUAUUAGUGUUUCUCUGACUCAACAAAUCAAACCUACUUAUGUCACAACUGACCAAAGCGAUAAAUUUAUGCUUCAUCGUAAUCCUGUUUAUUUUUCUAUAAGUGAAAUGUCACGUGGGGUUUGAUUUAUCAGAGUGCGUGUGUGGGUGAAAAUGACUUCAAAGGAGAAGCUGAAGGGUUAGGGGUGAUUUAGAAUAAAAUACCCCUUAUCACUGGUUUCCAGCAUUAACAAACACGUUAUUGUGAAAAUCAAGCUUUGCAUUAGGAAGGUAGACUUUAAAAAAUGUUUGUUUAUGUAAAUCAAAACAAAGAUUGCGAUUUGACUUGGAUCUGUUGUCAUUAUUGUAAAUGCUUAAAAAUGACAUGUUCAGCAGAAUCAACAAUAACAUUACUAUAGUACAUUUGCAUUGUCAAAAUCAUAGCUCUAUAAAUUUGUCCAACAUGUGAUACAAUAAAGAUGCUUAAAAAACCA